GGAGAGACUUAGAAUCCCCGGGAUUGAAGUGUGAAUAGCGGCGUCUUUGGCCGGGCGCAGCGGUUCGUGAAUC
rnacentral:ncRNA from 1 species